UACAGAGGGGGCAAGCGUUGUUCGGAAUUACUGGGCGUAAAGGGCGCGUAGGCGGCCUGGUAAGUAGGGGGUGAAAUCCUGCGGCUUAACCGCAGGGCUGCCUUCUAAACUGUCAGGCUUGAGCACGGUAGAGGCAGAUGGAAUUCCCGGUGUAGCGGUGGAAUGCGUAGAGAUCGGGAAGAACAUCAGUGGCGAAGGCGGUCUGCUGGGCCGUUGCUGACGCUGAGGCGCGACAGCGUGGGGAGCAAACAGG
rnacentral:rRNA from 1 species